AAAUUGAAGAGUUUGAUCAUGGCUCAGAUUGAACGCUGGCGGCAGGCCUAACACAUGCAAGUCGAACGGUAACAGGAAGCAGCUUGCUGCUUUGCUGACGAGUGGCGGACGGGUGAGUAAUGUCUGGGAAACUGCCUGAUGGAGGGGGAUAACUACUGGAAACGGUAGCUAAUACCGCAUAACGUCGCAAGACCAAAGAGGGGGACCUUNNNNNNNNNNNNNNNNNNNNNNNNNNNNNNNNNNNNNNNNNNNNNNNNNNNNNNNNNNNNNNNNNNNNNNNNNNNNNGGCUCACCUAGGCGACGAUCCCUAGCUGGUCUGAGAGGAUGACCAGCCACACUGGAACUGAGACACGGUCCAGACUCCUACGGGAGGCAGCAGUGGGGAAUAUUGCACAAUGGGCGCAAGCCUGAUGCAGCCAUGCCGCGUGUAUGAAGAAGGCCUUCGGGUUGUAAAGUACUUUCAGCGGGGAGGAAGGGAGUAAAGUUAAUACCUUUGCUCAUUGACGUUACCCGCAGAAGAAGCACCGGCUAACUCCGUGCCAGCAGCCGCGGUAAUACGGAGGGUGCAAGCGUUAAUCGGAAUUACUGGGCGUAAAGCGCACGCAGGCGGUUUGUUAAGUCAGAUGUGAAAUCCCCGGGCUCAACCUGGGAACUGCAUCUGAUACUGGCAAGCUUGAGUCUCGUAGAGGGGGGUAGAAUUCCAGGUGUAGCGGUGAAAUGCGUAGAGAUCUGGAGGAAUACCGGUGGCGAAGGCGGCCCCCUGGACGAAGACUGACGCUCAGGUGCGAAAGCGUGGGGAGCAAACAGGAUUAGAUACCCUGGUAGUCCACGCCGUAAACGAUGUCGACUUGGAGGUUGUGCCCUUGAGGCGUGGCUUCCGGAGCUAACGCGUUAAGUCGACCGCCUGGGGAGUACGGCCGCAAGGUUAAAACUCAAAUGAAUUGACGGGGGCCCGCACAAGCGGUGGAGCAUGUGGUUUAAUUCGAUGCAACGCGAAGAACCUUACCUGGUCUUGACAUCCACGGAAGUUUUCAGAGAUGAGAAUGUGCCUUCGGGAACCGUGAGACAGGUGCUGCAUGGCUGUCGUCAGCUCGUGUUGUGAAAUGUUGGGUUAAGUCCCGCAACGAGCGCAACCCUUAUCCUUUGUUGCCAGCGGUCCGGCCGGGAACUCAAAGGAGACUGCCAGUGAUAAACUGGAGGAAGGUGGGGAUGACGUCAAGUCAUCAUGGCCCUUACGACCAGGGCUACACACGUGCUACAAUGGCGCAUACAAAGAGAAGCGACCUCGCGAGAGCAAGCGGACCUCAUAAAGUGCGUCGUAGUCCGGAUUGGAGUCUGCAACUCGACUCCAUGAAGUCGGAAUCGCUAGUAAUCGUGGAUCAGAAUGCCACGGUGAAUACGUUCCCGGGCCUUGUACACACCGCCCGUCACACCAUGGGAGUGGGUUGCAAAAGAAGUAGGUAGCUUAACCUUCGGGAGGGCGCUUACCACUUUGUGAUUCAUGACUGGGGUGAAGUCGUAACAAGGUAACCGUAGGGGAACCUGCGGUUGGAUCACCUCCUUACCUUAAAGAAGC
rnacentral:rRNA from 1 species